rnacentral:rRNA from 1 species
GCAAGUGGGACGAAAUAUAUGGAUGAAAUUUUUCGAAGUGGAUUUUGUAAUGUUUAGUCGCGGACGGGUGAGUAAUGCGUGAGAACCUGUCCUGAAGAGGGGUCCAGCCCAGGGAAACCUGGAUUAAUACCCCAUAAGCCUACGGGUGAAAGGAGAAAUCCGCUUCGGGAGGGGCUCGCGUCCUAUCAGCUAGUUGGUGAGGUAACUGCUCACCAAGGCUAAGACGGGUAGCCGGACUGAGAGGUUGAAC